rfam:Canis lupus familiaris chromosome 25, whole genome shotgun sequence.
GCCUGAGUGGCUCAGUGGUUGAGCAUCUGCCUUCAGCUCAAGUUGUGAUCCUGGGAUUCUGGGAUUGAGUCCCACUUCAGGCU